UAAAAUUAAUUAUAAGUUAAAUUUUACAUAAUCAGAACCAUAAAUACCUGAAUUAAAUUAUUAACUAAAACAAGGAUUAGAUACCCUUCUAUUAAUAACACUAAAAUUAAACUAGAUAAUACGAACCAUAGUUUAAAAUCUAAAGAAUUUGGCGGUGGCCCACAAAAUCAGGGGAACCUGUUUAUUAAAUCGAUAACCCACGUAAUGAUCCACCUAAAUUUGAACCUCAACAUGUGUACUGCCGUUGAAAACAUACCUUUAUAGAGAGUAUAUAAAAAAAGAAUACUUCCUACAUCAGGUCAAAGUGCAGUUUAUAUAUUAGGAUUAAAUGGGUUACAAUCUUUAUAUGUUUAUAGAGCCUCUUAUUAAAUUAAUUGGUAAAAUUGGACUUGAUAGUAAUUUAAAUUAACCUAUUUAAAUGAAAAUUACCUGGGCCA
rnacentral:rRNA from 1 species